rnacentral:rRNA from 1 species
AUGUCCCGCUACGGCCGCAGCAUCAAGAUCACCGCGAAGGGUGGCAGCUCCGUGUAUGCCAAGGUGGUGGACGAGUGCGACUCUGUCCACGGUUGCGACGCUGAGCACAACUACGAGGAGCCAUGCGCCUACAACGUCGUCGACGCCUCGCCGGCGGUGUGGGACGCCCUGGGCCUCGACCAGAACAUCGGUUUGCAGGAUGUCACCUGGUCUGAUGAGUAA